rnacentral:ncRNA from 1 species
AUAUCAAACAGGGACGAAAGUCGGUCAUAGUGAUCCGAUAAUUCUUAGUGGAAAGAUUAUCGCUCAACGGAUAAAAGGUACUCCGGGGAUAACAGGCUGAUGACUCCUAAGAGCUCCUAUCGACGGAGUCGUUUGGCACCUCGAUGUCGACUCAAUCGACUAUGCCGAUCACGGUGAUGGUCGCUA